rnacentral:rRNA from 1 species
AGCAGCCGCGGUAAUUCCAGCUCCAAUAGCGUAUAUUAAAGUUGUUGCAGUUAAAAAGCUCGUAGUUGAAUUUCGAGAUCAGUACGCUGGUCGUGCCUUCGGUAUGCACUGGUGUCACUGGUUUCUCCCUUCUGAAGAACCGUCAUGCCAUUCAGUUGGUGUGGCGGGGAAUCAGGACUGUUACUUUAGAAAAAUUAGAGUGUUUAAAGCAGGCUCGCGCUUGAAUACAUUAGCAUGGAAUAAUGAAAUAGGACGUUUGACCCUAUUUUGUUGGUUUCUAGGAUCGACGUAAUGAUUAAUAGGGAUAGUUGGGGGCAUUAGUAUUCAAUUGUCAGAGGUGAAAUUCUUGGAUUUAUUGAAGACUAACUACUGCGAAAGCAUUUGCCAAGGAUGUUUUCUAUUAAUCAAGAACGAAAGUUAGGGGAUCGAAGACGAUCAGAUACCGUCGUAGUCUUAACCAUAAACUAUGCCGACUAGGGAUCGGAUGAUGUUUAAUUUUUAUGUACUCA